rnacentral:misc_RNA from 1 species
UUCAUUCACGCUCUUACUCACGGGGGUUUAUUUGUGUCACGCAUUUCUGGUAAAUAUGUGCUGCCAUCUUCUGACAUACGCUUAAGCCAGAUUUCAACCCUUAGAAUUAUAGUUGGAGAUAAUCAGUCUUCUUUAGAAAGUCAUCAAGAGCAGAAAAAAUAAUUUAUAUUUCCAAAAAAAAAAUAAUGGAAAAUCCUAGCACUGAAAAUAUUUGCUGUCAAAGUGUCUUCAGUGAUAUAAACAACAUAAAUAACAAUAAUAUUUCUCUAAAAGAUAUUAUUUUCGGCUGGGACACAUUUAACGCCCGAGUAUUUAUUUUUUUUAUUAUUUCCUUUGUAAUUUGGUCUGUAGUUUUUUUCCUCCUUUAUAAUCCCGAAAUAAUUGACCACAGUGAUCACGGACACGGAAUGAUGGAUCAUGAAGUUCAUUUAAUGUCAGGACACUAAGGAAAUUAAGCAGCACGGAACAGACGAUCGAUUUGCAAGCAUCCGGACAUACUUUAACUAACAAAAUGGACACGAAGCUAUUAAUUGACACACGUGAUCGUUAAUCAGUGUCACCGCCAGGAAUUUGACCUCAUUUCGGGGAAAUAAAUCAACGCUAAAGGAUCUGGUGGACAUUUAACGUUAAAAAUGUAAAUAAACAUGUAAAAAAUUAAAAAAGAAAUUAAUUGUAAUUGUAAAUU